rnacentral:lncRNA from 1 species
UAUUGUUCUUCUAGAAACAUAUAUUUUUAAUGGAGCAUUUAAAGCUGGUAUAUGUGACUUGAUCACUAUAUUUAUUUGGGUCAACAAAUGUGUCUGGCAACUGCUUUACUAAACGCAUUAAUUGAAUUAUCUUUUGGAAUUCUAUUUGACAUUUUUUUUAGUCCGAGGAUCAAUGAUAACUAAUAUCAGCUUAUUUUCUUUACCAGCUCUUUAUCCCCCCCUC